AGGCGCGUAGCUCAGUGGCAGAGCGCUCCUAUUACAUGGGAGAGGUCAGGGGUUCGAUUCCCUUUCGCGCCUACCA
rnacentral:tRNA from 1 species